rnacentral:misc_RNA from 1 species
UGAACGCACAUUGCGCCCGGCAGUAAUCUGCCGGGCAUGCCUGUCCGAGCGUCAUUUCAACCCUCGAGCCUAAGUUUUUUAAACUGAAGGAUCGGUGUUGGGGCGCUACAGCGGUUCUUCGGAGCAGCUGUAGGCCCUGAAAUACAGUGGCGGUCCCGCCGCGGCGCCUUCUGCGUAGUAAACUUACAGAUCGCAUUAGGUCCCGGCGAAGGCUAGCCGUCAAACCCUCUAUUUUUUAUGGUUUGACCUCGGAUCAGGUAGGGUUACCCGCUGAACUUAA